rnacentral:rRNA from 1 species
AGUCGAGCGGUAGAGAGGAGCUUGCUCCUCUUGAGAGCGGCGGACGGGUGAGUAAUGCCUAGGAAUCUGCCUGGUAGUGGGGGAUAACGUUCGGAAACGGACGCUAAUACCGCAUACGUCCUACGGGAGAAAGCAGGGGACCUUCGGGCCUUGCGCUAUCAGAUGAGCCUAGGUCGGAUUAGCUAGUUGGUGAGGUAAUGGCUCACCAAGGCGACGAUCCGUAACUGGUCUGAGAGGAUGAUCAGUCACACUGGAACUGAGACACGGUCCAGACUCCUACGGGAGGCAGCAGUGGGGAAUAUUGGACAAUGGGCGAAAGCCUGAUCCAGCCAUGCCGCGUGUGUGAAGAAGGUCUUCGGAUUGUAAAGCACUUUAAGUUGGGAGGAAGGGCAGUAAAUUAAUACUUUGCUGUUUUGACGUUACCGACAGAAUAAGCACCGGCUAACUCUGUGCCAGCAGCCGCGGUAAUACAGAGGGUGCAAGCGUUAAUCGGAAUUACUGGGCGUAAAGCGCGCGUAGGUGGUUUGUUAAGUUGGAUGUGAAAUCCCCGGGCUCAACCUGGGAACUGCAUUCAAAACUGACUGACUAGAGUAUGGUAGAGGGUGGUGGAAUUUCCUGUGUAGCGGUGAAAUGCGUAGAUAUAGGAAGGAACACCAGUGGCGAAGGCGACCACCUGGACUAAUACUGACACUGAGGUGCGAAAGCGUGGGGAGCAAACAGGAUUAGAUACCCUGGUAGUCCACGCCGUAAACGAUGUCAACUAGCCGUUGGAAGCCUUGAGCUUUUAGUGGUGCAGCUAACGCAUUGAGUUGACCGCCUGCGGAGUACGGCCGCAAGGUUAAACUCAAAUGAAUUGACGGGCGCCCGCACAAGCGGUGGAGCAUGUGGUUUAAAUCGAAGCAACGCGAAGAACCUUACCAGGCCUUGACAUCCAAUGAACUUUCU